rnacentral:tRNA from 1 species
GCCUGUGGCUCAAAGAGUUAGGGCGCCGGUCCCAUAUGCCGGAGGUGGUGGGUUCAAGCCCACCUUUGGCC